UGCUUAAUCUUACAAAAGGUAAGGAAACUACAAUUUCAGAGAUGGCAAUCCCAAGAUAUAAGCUACAAUUUCAGAGAUGCGAGUCAAGGAUACUCAAUAAAUUUCAGAGAUGCUGCAGAUAUAUACUUUUAUAUUAAGAUGAAAACAAGCAUCUAGCAGUACUUUAGACAUUUGUAUAGCUGAUUUGGUGUACGAGUAAGGGCGCCCAUCUGCCCCGCCGUCGCCACUGAGGAGAGGCAGGGACGAGGGCCGUCCGCCGCGGGAACCAAGGCCGAACGCCGCCGUGGGUCGGGGACGAGCGCCGUCCGCCGCGGGAGCCGGGACGAGCGCCGCCGCGAGCUGGGGAGCUAGCUGGACGAGCGCCGCCGCGCCGCAGCGACCUCUUCUCAGAAUCGUGCGUUGUGCGAUGGGAUCGAUUGGCAACAGGAUACCCGAAGUUGGUAUGUGGUUCAGAAAUUCGGAUGAGGCUUGGGAGUUCUGCGUGCAAUAUGGAGGUCACAUAGGCUUUGAUGUGAGGAAAAGAAAUACCAUCAAAAGCAGAACUGAUGGAACAAUCACUUCAUGUAGGUUUGUUUGUUCCAAUGAAGGCAUUCGAAGGAAAAGUCAAAUAGAUCACGAGCCAAAGCGCAUUAGAGCUGAAACAAGAACCAAUUGUAAAGUUCGGAUGAUUGUUUCAUUUGAUCGAGUGGCCAAAUUUUUUGAAGUCACCGAAGUUGAUUUGGAACACAAUCACCUCCUUCAAUUGCCACAAACCUGUCACUUGUUGGCAUCACAAAGGAAGAUUUCUGAUGUGCAAGCUUUAGAGAUAGAAACAACCGAUGAUUCUGGAAUUAUGCCAAAAGCUUCACAUGAUUCCUUUGCCUGCUCGUGUUGCCUUCAUGUCCUCUUGUUCCAUCUUCUGGAACUUCUAUUUUGUCGACCACAAUGAACAAAUGAACUUCUAAUUCUCAACUUCAGGCCAGUUCUUGCUGCAACUCAAAAUCUCCGAUGAUUACUCUAAGCGCGGGUGCAUUCUAACAAAAGACCGGCUCGUCUUAUUGUUCAGAUCCAUUCAACUGCAGCAGAGGAGGAUCUGGAGGGGCUUCUUUCCUAUUAUACGUAGUAUGGCCGUGGUGCCUUGGGCAAUUCUGGUGGUGAUCUCUUGAGUCGACAGACAUUAUCGCAGAUGAUCCAUAAGUAUGUGGAUACGGUCGAUGGAGAAAUUACAGUUUUGUCUAAACAUCUAUGAGCAUGUUGCUCUAAUUUGACAAUGAAAGUGUUGUAAUCUGUAUCAUUUAUUCAGUGACCUUAAACUUUUAUAUGACAAAGACGUUAGUGCA